rnacentral:lncRNA from 1 species
AGCAACAGAAACCCAAGUAACAAGGUCAUCAAGAUUUGAAGACACCAGGGAUCCUAUGGGCUGCAGCCUCAACCUGAGAGCCGGAGCAAACCCUCCACCCUUAGUUGGCUUUGGAGGACAUUUUGUCACAGUACGAAAGCCUUUCGUCGUCACCUGGCAGACCUUCAGGCCCCAGCUGUACAAGAUGCAGAUGAGCGACUUCAGCUUUCAGACUUUAUUUUCUGGCUGUGCCCUCGGGCCUUUUUUUCUUAGAUGGUGAUCUUUUGGGCAGAAAGAUAACUGAAAGUUGACGAUUCUGACUAUGAGGAAAGGCAAUUUGGCUUCAACCUCUCCAUGUCACCCAAGGCUCUCAGAAGGAAGGGACAUUGUUAUUAAAAUUACUUCACUGUUACUGAUUGUUUUCGGGAAAUUAGCUUUUCUAGCUUGUGUUGUGUGUUGUGACAAAUGUACAGAUCCAUGUAUGUACCACUCUAAUAAAACCGCCUUGGUCAGCCACGAAAA